rnacentral:rRNA from 1 species
UACGUAGGGUGCAAGCGUUGUCCGGAAUUAUUGGGCGUAAAGAGCUCGUAGGCGGUUUGUCGCGUCUGCUGUGAAAACUGGGGGCUCAACCCCCAGCCUGCAGUGGGUACGGGCAGACUAGAGUGCGGUAGGGGAGAUUGGAAUUCCUGGUGUAGCGGUGGAAUGCGCAGAUAUCAGGAGGAACACCGAUGGCGAAGGCAGAUCUCUGGGCCGUAACUGACGCUGAGGAGCGAAAGUAUGGGGAGCGAACAGG